UACGUAGGGUGCGAGCGUUGUCCGGAAUUAUUGGGCGUAAAGAGCUCGUAGGCGGUUUGUCGCGUCUGCUGUGAAAACCUAAGGCUCAACCUUGGGCUUGCAGUGGGUACGGGCAGACUAGAGUGCGGUAGGGGUGACUGGAAUUCCUGGUGUAGCGGUGAAAUGCGCAGAUAUCAGGAGGAACACCGAUGGCGAAGGCAGGUCUCUGGGCCACUACUGACGCUGAGAAGCGAAAGCAUGGGGAGCGAACGGG
rnacentral:rRNA from 1 species